GAAGCUGACCAGACAGUCGCCGCUUCGUCGUCGUCCUUUCGGGGAGACGGGCGGAGGGGAGGAAAGUCCGGGCUCCAUAGGGCAGGGUGCCAGGUAACGCCUGGGGGGGAAACCCACGACCAGUGCAACAGAGAGCAAACCGCCGAUGGCCCACGUAAGUGGGAUCAGGUAAGGGUGAAAGGGUGCGGUAAGAGCGCACCGCGCGGCUGGUAACAGUCCGUGGCACGGUAAACUCCACCCGGAGCAAGGCUAAAUAGGGGUUCAUAAGGUACGGCCCGUACUGAACCCGGGUAGGCUGCUUGAGCCAGUGAGCGAUCGCUGGCCUAGAUGAAUGACUGUCCACGACAGAACCCGGCUUAUCGGUCAGUUUCACUU
rnacentral:RNase_P_RNA from 1 species